CCUACGGGUGGCUGCAGUGAGGAAUAUUGGUCAAUGGGCGGAAGCCUGAACCAGCCAAGUCGCGUGAGGGAGUAAGGCCCUACGGGUCGUAAACCUCUUUUGCCGGGGAGCAGUGCCCAGCUCGUGAGCUGGGAGGGAGCGUACCCGGAGAAAAAGCAUCGGCUAACUCCGGGCCAGCAUCCGCGGUAAGACGGAGGAUGCGAGCGUUAGACGGAUUUAUUGGGUUUAAAGGUUGCGUAGGCGGGACUUCAGGCCGGCGGUAAAAUUGCGGGGCUCAACCCCGCCGAGCCGUCGGAACCGGGGGCCUUGAGUACCGGAGAAGUACGCGGAAUGCGUGGUGUAGCGGUGAAAUGCAUAGAUAUCACGCAGAACCCCGAUUGCGAAGGCAGCGUACCGGCCGGUCACUGACGCUGAGGCACGAAAGCGCGGGUAUCGAACAGGAUUAGAUACCCUAGUAGUC
rnacentral:rRNA from 1 species